UACGAAGGGGGCGAGCGUUGUUCGGAAUUACUGGGCGUAAAGCGCGUGUAGGCGGCUAAGUAAGUCGGGCGUGAAAUCCCACGGCUCAACCGUGGAAGUGCACUCGAAACUGCGUAGCUAGAGUCCUGGAGAGGAAGGUGGAAUGCUUGGUGUAGAGGUGAAAUUCGUAGAUAUCAAGCGGAACACCGGUGGCGAAGGCGGCCUUCUGGACAGUGACUGACGCUGAGACGCGAAAGCGUGGGGAGCAAACAGG
rnacentral:rRNA from 1 species